rnacentral:rRNA from 1 species
AGUGAACGCUGGCGGCAGGCCUAACACAUGCAAGUCGAACGGACCCUUCGGGGUUAGUGGCGGACGGGUGAGUAACACGUGGGAACGUGCCUUUAGGUUCGGAAUAGCUCCUGGAAACGGGUGGUAAUGCCGAAUGUGCCCUUCGGGGGAAAGAUUUAUCGCCUGUAGAGCGGCCCGCGUCUGAUUAGCUAGUUGGUGAGGUAACGGCUCACCAAGGCGACGAUCAGUAGCUGGUCUGAGAGGAUGACCAGCCACAUUGGGACUGAGACACGGCCCAAACUCCUACGGGAGGCAGCAGUGGGGAAUCUUGCGCAAUGGGCGAAAGCCUGACGCAGCCGUGCCGCGUGGAUGAUGAAGGUCUUAGGAUUGUAAAAUCCUUUCACCGGUGAAGAUAAUGACUGUAGCCGGAGAAGAAGCCCCGGCUAACUUCGUGCCAGCCGCCGCGGUAA